rnacentral:lncRNA from 1 species
CUCCUAAGAGGCACUGAAGGACAGACACAGCGCAUAAAGAGAUACGGCUAUGAGUAGGGAUGAGACAGUGCAUGGACUCACGGGCCAACUGGAGAGGGGAGAGGUGUGUGUGUGUGUGUGUUUGUGUGUGUGUGUGUUUGGGGGAGGGCAGGUGAGGAGGGUCUUGGUAUGAUAUGUUCCUCUCUCACUGAGAGAAACCAAGGAAAGAAUAAACAGAUCAGCUCCUGCUGAUGACUCCUGGAAGGUGGCAUGAAGUGGGAGGAGGGUGUUUCUUUGGGCAGGAAGGGAGAUGGUUCCCAAUCAUUAAGGCUUUUUAAUAAUAACUAGGCUUUUAAUUAUUCUUAAAACAUUUGGUAUAGAAAAGCAGCUUUGGGCAGGAAGGGUUUCUAAGCAGGGAAGAAUUUCUAGCUUCAGGAAUCCCUGCUCCUACCCUCUGCCUGGAUGACAAUAGUUCCAACGGCAGGAACAUACCUGGGGUGGUCCCCCGAGUGACCUAAAUCUCCUGAGUUACAGACGUUGAGCCUGCUUCCCCAGAGGACUGAGGAGCUAUGGAAGAGGUGCUUGCUUUUGGUUUGUAAAGGUUAGAAAGAAAACUCUCCCCAUGGAGAGAAACCAUCUUGGAGAGGGAGGCUAUUUGAUGGACCGGGUGUCUGCUGUGGUCGUGAAUCAUAGGCUAAAUGUGUAAGAAACUAAGUCAGGCAUUGCGAGCAUAUGGGGUAAGUCCCUCAGCUUUCUUGCACUGCCCGAAAUUCCACCAAUGGAAUCUAGUUAGUCUCUAGAUCUUUAAGCUCUUCAGUCUGGAAGACCCCGUGGAGAGGGAGAAUACUCGAGUACCAAUUCAAGAAGUAGAGCUUCAAUUUUUGCCUCAGUCCCACCACUAACCAUGGUUAUACAAAAUUCCUUAGCAUUUAUUGAUAAAAUGGGAAUCAUGAUGCCUGCCCGGUCAACCUUGAUAUAGGGAUUUUAUAGGAAAAUAAUAAUAUGGUAUGGGAUUAGACUAAUCCUUUGGAUAAUUUAGACAAGUGGAGAGACCCUUGGUGGAUUUAGGCACAUAGGAAAGAAGAGUUAAGAAAUUCCAACUUCAAUCCCAAACCUCGGUCCUAAAUUCCACGUCGGCAAACUGGCUGUAGAUCUUUGCUCCUCGCCCUCAUUUCACAAUGAAGGCACUUCUUUUCUUGGCUUAUUAAACAUUAACCUAAAAGCUGCCUCAAUUGAGAAAUGAAGAAAGUGCCUGUAGAAAUGGCCAUGGCAUUGGGCUGGGGUUGAGAGGAGGAGGGGUGCAGGGAAAUGGAAAGUUAAAAUAGAGGGAGAGUGAAAAAGAAAGCAUGAGAAAAUUCUUUGCCCAUGUCAACUUAUAGAUGAUCACUGCAUAAAUAUUGGGUUACCUGAAAUGUCAGAGAAGAGGCUAAGGACUGGGCAUGGGAGGUGUCAGGAGACUUUUGAUUACAAAGCCAAAAAGUUUGUUUUUAUCUGGAGAACCCCCAAAGUCUUGAGUAUAAGAAAAUGGAAACAGUUGUGUUUGUGCUAAAGAGCAGUCCAGCUCUUUAGAGGAUUUGUGUUUAGAAGAUUUCAAGAGCAAGAACAGUGGAAGCAGGGAGCCAGCAGGGCAGUGGUGGUGACAGUUCAGACCUGAAAUUAUGGCCCAAACUAAAGCAUUUCCAGUAGGGACGGAGAAGAAGGAUCACACUUGAAAGACUGAACUUGUAGCUGGCUGUAGGAACUAACAGAAAGAGAAGGGUCAAAAAGAUACCUAGGUUUUCGGGAGUUCCUGUUUUUGUGCUUCAGAAAUGAACCCAACUAGUAUCCAUGAGGAUGCAGGUUCAAUCCCUGGCCUUGCUCAGUGGGUUAAGGAUCCAGCAUUGCUGUGAGCUGUGCUUCAGGUCACAGAUGCGACUCAGAUCCUGCAUUGCUGUGGCUGUGGUACAGACCGGCAGCUGUAGCUCUGAUUCAGCCCCUAGCCUGGGAACUUCCAUAUGCCGUAGUUGUGGCCCUAAAAGCAAAACAACAACAACAACAACAACAACAAAAACCCACAAACAAAAAGAUAUCUAGCUUUUUGAAGAAAUUGUAAUUCUGUCCCUCAAGGUAUUGAUUAUUUGAGAAGAAGCCAAUUUGGCAGAAUUGAUGGAAGUUGGAUUGGAUUAGGAUAUGGGGAGAGAUGAUUUCACAUUUAAACAUGUUAAAUUUGGCGACGUUUGUGGGAAAUCCAAUUGAGACUUCUAAUAAGCAGUUAAAUAUAUGAAUCCAAAUCUCUGAGCUGGGAAUACAGGUUGGAUUGUCCCUCAGAUAUUACAUAAAGUCAUGUGAGUGGCGGAGAUGGCUGAAGGUGGGUGAAUCCUGGACUUAUGAUGAAAUACAGGCAAUGUCAACACAGUGAAAAAGGAGACUGCAAAGAAAACCAAAGAGGAGCUAGAAAAGUAGGUGGAAAAUUGAGAUCAAAGGAUAUCCAAUGAUCCAAAGGUAGACAAUUUUAAAGAGGAAAGAGGAGGGAGUGGUUGAUAGUUCUAAAUGAUUAAGAGAUUGUAUUCAGCAGCUAAGCCUUGAGUGACCUUGGCAGUGGAAUGCAAGAAACAGAAACCAUGCUGGUAAUAUAUGAGGAAGGCAGUGCAGGCAGGGUGGAAUUAUCUUUUGGAAAGUUACCAAGAAAGGAAAAAGAAAGUAAUAAUGGUCUAGAGAAAAAAACAGUCAUCAACAGAGUUUCGGGCAGCUUGGGAUACAAACAUGAGGAGAAAGAGCAAAGUCAGAGGGAGCGGUUGAUAAUGAAGAGAGAAGAAGGAUAAUGGGUGGAAUAAGAUUUUUGAGCAAUUCAGACUGUGAGAUACGGAGAGCAGAUGGUAGGAUGAUACUUAGACAAGUGGAGGGAACUCUUCCAUUGAGAAGAGAGGGGGACUGAUUAGGACUUACCUAAAUAUGGAUAAUUUUUAUGGAAAAGGUUGGUUUGCAAAGCAGGGAGAUGAACUAAUUUCUGCAAAAUAGUUAUCCAUGAUGUUGGAAAUAAUAUUGGCUGAGAGUAAGAGUGUCAGUACCAGGUUGGGGCUUGAAAAGAACUUUGUGCUGUGAACUUUGUGCUGUGAACAAAAAAUGAAAGGAGCUGGCAAGAUUGUCAGCCUGCAGGCCCAGGAUAUUUGGGAGAUUAUGAACCCAGCAGUGUUUACAUUAGGCCAAGUGCAUAAACCCAGAAGGCAGAUGUUUGGACGGGUCGUUCAUGAGUGCAUUACCAUAUACUAUAUAAGGGAUCAAAGAAGAUGUGAACAAUAACAGAUAUGGAUGGGAUGAAAGCCAGGAGAGGCUAAGAGAUGAA